rnacentral:lncRNA from 1 species
GAAAAGAUCAGCCAUGCCACUGAAGAGCUGGAGACCUAUAGAAAGCGAGCCAAAGAUCUUGAAGAAGAAUUGGAGAGAACUAUUCAUUCUUAUCAAGGGCAGGUAUAUAUAUAUGUGUGUGUGUGUGUGUGUGUGUGUGUAUAUAUAUAUAAUUUAAAACAAUUCUGAUUUCUUUGAAUUGAUGCAGGAAUAUAAUUACUUGACCAGUUGUAUACCUCUUUUGAGGUGUUGCAUGUGGCUGUGGGACAUUUCCCAGGAGCCAAAGAUUCUGAGAUAAGAAAUCUUAUUUAAAAUUGCUGUAUUGGCUGGGUGCAGUGGCUCACACCAGUAAUCCCAGCACUUUGGGAAGCCGAAGUGGGUGGAUCACUUGAGGUCAGGAGUUCGAGACCAGCCUGGAUAACAUGGCAAAACCCUGUCUCUACUAAAAAAAAAAAAAAAAAAAAAAAAAAUACAAAAAUAGCCGGGUAUGGUGGCACAUGCCUGUAAUCUCAGCUACUUGGGAGGCUAAGGCAGGAGAAUCACUUGAACCCUGGAGGCAGAGGUUGCAGUGAGCUGAGAUCACGUCACUUGCACUCCAGCCUGGGUGACAGAGUGAGACUCCGUCU